rnacentral:rRNA from 1 species
GAUGAACGCUGGCGGCGUGCCUAAUACAUGCCAGUCGAGCGAACGGACGAGAAGCUUGCUUCUCUGAUGUUAGCGGCGGACGGGUGAGUAACACGUGGAUAACCUACCUAUAAGACUGGGAUAACUUCGGGAAACCGGAGCUAAUACCGGAUAAUAUUUUGAACCGCAUGGUUCAAAAGUGAAAGACGGUCUUGCUGUCACUUAUAGAUGGAUCCGCGCUGCAUUAGCUAGUUGGUAAGGUAACGGCUUACCAAGGCAACGAUGCAUAGCCGACCUGAGAGGGUGAUCGGCCACACUGGAACUGAGACACGGUCCAGACUCCUACGGGAGGCAGCAGUAGGGAAUCUUCCGCAAUGGGCGAAAGCCUGACGGAGCAACGCCGCGUGAGUGAUGAAGGUCUUCGGAUCGUAAAACUCUGUUAUGAGGGAAGAACAUAUGUGUAAGUAACUGUGCACAUCUUGACGGUACCUAAUCAGAAAGCCACGGCUAACUACGUG